CCGAAAUUUUUUUUUUCCGGAACAAUUUAUUUUGGCGACCUUCCUCCCCCCCCCCCUCGCCAAAAAAAUUUCGGUCAGUGUACCAUUUUAGGGGUCCAAAAAUUAUUCGGACAUACCAAAAUUUUUCGGAACAUUCAAACAAAUUUUCCCAAACAUAAAAAAAUUCACAUAAUUUCCCCCCAAAUUGACAGAAUUUGUCCCAUUUAUUUUUAUAAUAACCCAAUAUUGCCCGACUGUGAAGCGAAUAUUGCCCAACUGGCUUUGUUUGCCCAACAAACUGGGGUUAUUAUUAAGAGAGAUUUUAUUGCUUUGACUACUGUUUGCCCGACUUUUGCCCGACUUUUUUUUGUUGAACAUUUGCCCGACUUUUCGACUUUGUAAUCUUUUUGGGGGGCAGCUGCCCCCCUGCCCCCGCUCCCGUACGCCUAUGUGGAAAUAGUUAAAAAGCAUUUAUAGUUAAAAUCUAGAACGUAUCUUUAAUUGAAUCUUUAACCGUAACUUUAAUUGAAUCUUUAACUUUAUUUAACUGGGUGUUGUUGUGCCCCGUAAAUAUAACAG